rnacentral:rRNA from 1 species
UACGGAGGGAGCUAGCGUUGUUCGGAAUUACUGGGCGUAAAGGGCGCGUAGGCGGUCAGCACAAGUCAGUUGUGAAAUCUCCGGGCUUAACUCGGAAAGGUCAACUGAUACUGUGCGACUAGAGUGCGGAAGGGGCAACUGGAAUUCUCGGUGUAGCGGUGAAAUGCGUAGAUAUCGGGAGGAACACCGGUGGCGAAGGCGGGUCUCUGGGCCGAUACUGACGCUGAGGAGCGAAAGCGUGGGGAGCGAACAGG